CCAGUAAAAACUUCUGUUAUAAUCCCUUUAGUCCUCUUUUUUUCAGUUUUUAUGAAGAACAGUUUGUCAGCAUCUUCAUUUAUGCAGGACAAUGUAAUUUGACCCAGUCUCCAUCGAAGGCAAGAGAUUAUAAGAAGGAAGGAGAUAAAAAUGAUUCAAGUUGUUUUGAACUUCCUUAUGUGCUAGAUAAUAUGGAUAACAUGAAAGAUGCCACAUACAUUAUUCCAUAGUAAAUAGGCAUUAUCUUAAGUAGUCAUUGUUUUUAAGUAACCUACCAGGUCACAUAUCUAAGCCCCGUUUUUCACUGAUUGAAGAUCUUUUACAUGUUGUAAAGGUUUGUUUUUUUGGUUAUUGUUUUUUAAAUAGCCCCACAUGGUUAUCCUUUUAUAUUAUGAUUUUGUAAUUCAGGUUUAGUUUAUGGUUGUCCUUUAUCACUUGUUUUUGUCAUGCUUGUGUCUGUGCUCAUCUUGUAUGUGGUGGCAGAACGCAACAGUUGUCCCUUUUGAAUUUUACUUUUGUUUUGUAAAAACCUAAAAUGCAAAGUUCCUUUGUUAUGCUUUCUUAAUUGUGUUGACAUAAGGUUGUGGGUUUUGUUUUCAAGAUUUCCUUGAUAGCUGCCGUGCCAGUACUCUAUUGGCUGAGCUCGAUGAUGAUGAGGACUUACCUGAGCCAGAUGAAGAAGAUGAUGAGAAUGAAGAUGACAAUCAGGAGGACCAAGAAUACGAGGAGAUUCUGAGACGCCCAUCCCUGCAACGUCGAGCUGGCUCCCGCUCUGAUGUAACGCAUCAUGCUGUUACCUCGCAGCUACCACAGGUACCUGCUGGAGCAGGGAGCCGACCUAUUGGGGAGCAGGAAGAAGAAGAGUACGAAACUAAAGGAGGACGCCGGAGAACAUGGGAUGAUGAUUAUGUGCUAAAGAGACAGUUUUCUGCAUUGGUUCCUGCUUUUGAUCCUAGACCUGGUCGUACUAAUGUCCAGCAGACAACUGAUCUAGAAAUACCACCCCCAGGGACCCCUCAUUCAGAGCUCUUGGAAGAAGUCGAAUGUACUCCGUCACCUCGAUUAGCUCUCACUUUGAAAGUAACAGGUCUUGGAACGACUCGUGAAGUUGAAUUACCACUCACCAAUUUCAGAUCAACCAUCUUUUACUAUGUACAAAAAUUGCUUCAAUUGUCCUGUAAUGGCAAUGUGAAAUCAGAUAAACUUAGGCGUAUUUGGGAGCCCACAUACACAAUCAUGUACAGAGAAAUGAAGGAUUCUGAUAAAGAAAAGGAAAAUGGAAAAAUGGGUUGCUGGUCUAUAGAGCAUGUGGAGCAGUACCUUGGCACUGAUGAAUUACCAAAGAAUGACUUGAUAACCUACCUGCAGAAGAAUGCAGACGCUGCUUUCCUGCGCCACUGGAAAUUAACUGGCACUAAUAAAAGUAUUAGGAAAAACAGAAAUUGUUCUCAGCUCAUAGCUGCAUAUAAGGAUUUUUGUGAGCAUGGAACAAAGUCUGGGUUAAACCAGGGGGCCAUUUCUACUCUUCAAAGUAGUGAUAUUCUUAAUUUAACAAAAGAACAACCUCAGGCCAAAGCAGGCAAUGGACAGAACUCUUGUGGAGUAGAAGAUGUCCUUCAGCUUCUGCGUAUUCUGUAUAUAGUUGCAAGUGACCCUUAUUCAAGAAUAUCCCAGGAAGAUGGUGAUGAACAGCCUCAGUUUACUUUUCCACCAGAUGAAUUCACUAGCAAAAAAAUUACAACAAAAAUAUUACAGCAGAUUGAGGAACCAUUGGCACUGGCAAGUGGGGCUCUGCCAGACUGGUGUGAACAAUUAACCAGCAAAUGUCCUUUUCUAAUACCAUUUGAAACUAGACAGCUUUAUUUCACAUGUACAGCAUUUGGCGCCUCAAGAGCAAUAGUAUGGUUACAGAACCGACGUGAAGCCACUGUGGAACGAACGAGAACCACAAGCAGUGUUAGGCGAGAUGACCCUGGAGAGUUUCGAGUUGGUCGUCUCAAGCAUGAAAGAGUAAAAGUUCCACGUGGCGAGUCACUGAUGGAAUGGGCUGAGAAUGUCAUGCAAAUACAUGCAGAUCGGAAAUCAGUUCUUGAGGUUGAGUUUUUAGGAGAAGAAGGAACUGGCUUGGGACCCACAUUAGAGUUUUAUGCUCUAGUGGCAGCAGAAUUCCAGAGAACUGACUUGGGAGCUUGGCUUUGUGAUGAUAAUUUUCCAGAUGAUGAAUCUCGUCACGUUGAUCUUGGAGGUGGAUUGAAACCUCCUGGAUAUUAUGUGCAGAGGUCAUGUGGACUGUUCACAGCACCAUUUCCACAGGAUAGUGAUGAGCUUGAAAGGAUCACGAAACUGUUUCAUUUCCUUGGAAUUUUCUUGGCCAAAUGCAUUCAAGACAAUAGACUUGUGGACUUACCUAUUUCUAAACCUUUUUUUAAACUUAUGUGUAUGGGUGACAUUAAAAGCAAUAUGAGUAAACUGAUUUAUGAGUCACGAGGUGAUAGAGACUUACACUGUACUGAAAGUCAGUCUGAAGCUUCUACAGAAGAAGGUCAUGAUUCACUCUCGGUAGGAAGCUUUGAAGAGGAUUCAAAAUCAGAAUUUAUUCUUGAUCCCCCUAAACCAAAACCCCCAGCUUGGUUUAAUGGAAUUUUGACUUGGGAAGACUUUGAAUUAGUAAACCCACACAGAGCCAGAUUUUUAAAAGAAAUUAAAGACCUUGCUAUCAAGAGGCGCCAAAUUUUAAGCAACAAAGGUCUUUCUGAAGAUGAGAAGAACACAAAAUUACAGGAACUAGUGCUGAAGAAUCCAUCAGGUUCUGGGCCUCCACUUAGCAUAGAGGAUUUAGGUUUAAAUUUCCAGUUUUGCCCUUCCUCAAGAAUAUAUGGUUUUACAGCUGUGGAUCUCAAGCCAAGUGGUGAAGAUGAGAUGAUAACAAUGGAUAAUGCAGAAGAAUAUGUGGAUUUGAUGUUUGACUUUUGUAUGCAUACGGGUAUUCAGAAACAAAUGGAAGCCUUUAGAGAUGGGUUUAAUAAAGUUUUUCCAAUGGAGAAAUUAAGUUCCUUCAGCCAUGAAGAAGUCCAAAUGAUUCUUUGUGGAAACCAGUCACCAUCCUGGGCAGCAGAGGAUAUUAUCAAUUACACUGAACCGAAGCUGGGUUAUACACGUGACAGCCCUGGUUUCCUGAGGUUUGUGAGGGUUUUAUGUGGCAUGUCUUCUGAUGAAAGAAAAGCAUUCUUGCAGUUUACCACUGGUUGUUCAACUCUACCCCCAGGUGGACUGGCUAACCUGCAUCCCAGGCUCACGGUUGUACGCAAGGUUGAUGCUACUGAUGCAAGCUAUCCAUCAGUCAAUACAUGUGUGCAUUACCUUAAGUUGCCUGAAUAUUCUUCCGAGGAGAUCAUGAGAGAGCGCCUGCUAGCUGCUACAAUGGAGAAAGGCUUUCAUCUCAAUUGAGCUUUGAAGUGCAAUGGGAGACAUCAGAGACUUUAAAAAUACUAGUGAAGCCUCUUGUGUUUGUGUGCAGAGAAGUAUAUGAUCCACCAUGCUAAUGACACUUGCCUUUUUUUCCACCAUUAAGGCUUUAAGAACAUGUGGAAUAAGUUUUUUAGCUGCUAAUGACAAAACAAAUCCUGUAACUACCCAGCCAGCAAGUAUAUAGCACAGAACACUGUGUUACUUUACAAGGGCUUAUGUGACUGGAAUAAGGUGGUCCCACUUGACUGUUCCAAAGAGCAGCUUCUCAGAUCUUCAGUGUUCACUGGUAAAUUUCUAACAGUGUAUUUGUGUAAAGUUUGUCAUUUCAUACUCCAUACACUACAGUUGCCGUCACUGAUCCCUGUUUUGCUGGCUUUUAAGCUACUUGGUCAAAAAUCCUGCUUCCUUAAAACAUAGAGAAUUAAUGAGCAUCUCAAGCUUUUUCUUUUCCUUUUUAAUGAUGCCUGCACUAUCAAGAGUAUUCUAGUGUUCUCUCUUUGUUUGGCAUAUAAUCAUGCACCAACCUUUUUAUUUCUUUAAGGUGGGAGUAUAUUUUUAUUUCCUAAAUGCCAUACUAUGAAGAUCAAAGUCUUAAGUGUGUUUGUGCAGCUCAAAAAUAAAGAUGUAUUAAGGGGGAAAACACUGGUCUAAGUGCAAGGCACACUUAAAGCAAGUUUUACUUUUGGUUGUAUUUUCUUUGUAUAUUAUAAACAUUUAUUUAACUUGUUGCCGUUUGAAGUAAAAAAUUUCCAAAAUGUAUGCUCAACAAUAAUCAUUAAAAUGUUUGCAGCGU
rnacentral:sRNA from 1 species